UACGUAGGGGGCUAGCGUUGUCCGGAAUCAUUGGGCGUAAAGAGCGUGUAGGCGGCCCGGUAAGUCCGCUGUGAAAGUCGGGGGCUCAACCCUCGAAUGCCGGUGGAUACUGUCGGGCUAGAGUGCGGAAGAGGCGAGUGGAAUUCCUGGUGUAGCGGUGAAAUGCGCGGAUAUCAGGAGGAACACCAAUUGCGAGGGCAGCUCGCUGGGACGUAACUGACGCUGAGACGCGAAAGCGUGGGGAGCAAACAGG
rnacentral:rRNA from 1 species